GCGGCGGUGGCUCGGGUGAACCAGGUGGCCUCGGGGGUGCCGGGGUCGACGGUGAUCUUCGUGGCGGUGCUGGUGUUGGGCUCUUCGUCGCCGCG
rnacentral:tRNA from 1 species